GAUUGGAUUGGAUAAAGGAAUGAGAAAGUCAGAGAGAAAGAAGAAAAUACUUAAGUAUUGAAUUGAAUUUUUGAGGUUAUUGUUUAGUAUUGAAAUAUUAGGAAAAGUAAGGCGUAAUUUACGUGGAAAAAAAAGAAGGGGGAGAAACUUUGGAUGCCAAAAUAAGAGGCGGAAAUACAGAAUUGAAUAUAGGAUCUCAGGAAUUUGUCUGUAUUUGUAAAAUGAGAAGAGUCACGGGUGUUUUUAUUUUUUCAGGAUGACUUUGCUUUGGUUUGCUCAGCUCAGCUCACAUGAGUUUCUCUUUUGCUACCAACAAUACAAAAGGUGACCUGCCAAGCUUACGUGCAACUAUGGUCACAAUUUCACAGACAAAAACACAAGAGUAUUAUUUGCUUCAAAUGGUACAUGCUUGGAUCCUCCAAUAAGGUUGUGCUUUGUGUUUUUGUUAAAGAGAAAAAACCAACUGCUGGCUUUUUGUUGUUGGUAUUGUUGAAAACACAAUGCCAAAUUGUUGGUUUAUAAGAUUAGUUGUUUUCUGUACAAGUUGGUUAAAAUAUUUAGGGGAUAUCAUCACUUGGUUGUUGGCUCAAAUUGACAUUGAAAACCGACUUGUUUGUUCCAUCGGUUGGAGAUUGUUAACCUUGGUUGAAAUCAACGAGAACUCCAACGAAGUUAGAAAAACACCAAGAAAGAGGUGAAGAGGGUAUGUUUAACAUAUACUAAUUGAGUUGUUCGCGAAUCAUGUGGUUGGAAAAGUGUAUUUCAACCUCAUUGAUUGAACCAUUGACUACAUGGACAAAUUUUCUUCCUUGUAUAACUCUUUUAAAGGUAAUAAUUAAGUGUAUAACAACAUUUAUGAAUGAUUGCAAAUAUAGAAAAUUUCUAUAUA